rnacentral:rRNA from 1 species
UACGUAGGGACCGAGCGUUGUCCGGAUUCAUUGGGCGUAAAGAGCUCGUAGGCGGCUGUUCAAGUCGAACGUGAAAACUCGGAGCUCAACUCCGAGCCUGCGUUCGAUACUGGACGGCUAGAGUCUGGUAGGGGGAUCUGGAAUUCCUGGUGUGAGCGGUGGAAUGCGCAGAGUAUCAGGAGGAACACCGGUGGCGAAGGCGGGAUCCUGGGCCAGUACUGACGCUGAGGAGCGAAAGCGUGGGGAGCGAACAGG